AAUGAACGCUGGCGGCAGGCCUAAAACAUGCAAGUCGAACGCUUGUAGCAAUACAAGAGUGGCGCACGGGUGAAUAGCACGUGGGAAUAUGCCUUUUGGUACGGAACAACUCCGGGAAACUGGAGCUAAUACCGUAUGGUCCCUUCGGGGUAAAGAUUUAUCGCCAAAAGAUUAGCCCGCGGUGGAUUAGCUAGUUGGUGAGGUAAUGGCUCACCAAGGCGACGAUCCAUAGCUGGUCUGAGAGGACGAUCAGCCACACUGGGACUGAGACACGGCCCAGACUCCUACGGGAGGCAGCAGUUAGGAAUAUUGGACAAUGGGCGCAAGCCUGAUCCAGCCAUGCCGCGUGAGCGAUGAAGGCCUUCGGGUUGUAAAGCUCUUUAGUCCACGAAUAUAAUGACUGUAGUGGAAGAAUAAGCCCCGGCUAACUUCGUGCCAGCAGCCGCGGUAAUACGAAGGGGGCGAGCGUUAUUCGGAAUCACUGGGCGUAAAGCGUGCGUAGGCUGUUCAGCAAGUCAGAAGUGAAAGCCCAGGGCUCAACCCGGAAGCGCUUUUGAAACUGCUG
rnacentral:rRNA from 1 species